CGGAUAUUUGAGAAUAAACUCACUGACUUCAUGAACCUUGCACAUCAGAGUAGAUACCCAAGCAAUGCCAUAGAGAUAGAGUGACAAACUAAGAAAGAAGGUAUCAUGUCUACAUACCUGAGAGAGUUGUCAUGAAGAAUAAAUGAAUUAACAAAGGAAAUUCUUAUACAUCAAAGCCCCAUAACUGUUUGGUUCUCUGCCUGGUCUCCAGGCUUCACCACCCAUUCAGGGGAAGACCAAUGCAGUUCGAUAUUCAGAGAGGCCUGCCUACAAGUAAUAUUGUCCUGAAGGAAGACAGUGGUCAGAAAAUCAGCAUGUGCCCAGCCCCUUGCUUCAGACCACUCCUACUGCCGGUCAAGCUGUUCUAUCUUGCUUGAGCAGGUGACCUCUGAGUGGCCUCAGAUGGGAGCUGACAGGACAGAAACACCCAAGGGAGAUGCACAGCGUCUGGGAGCUGAGCCCACUUCAGCUAACUUCAGCAAGUCCCAAACUGGAUUCUCCCAGUUGGUUCUCACUUUCUUGAUUCAUCCCACUCAGGACGGUGGUUUAUGAAAGCACUGAAUGCUGCUGACCAAUGGAUUCACAUAGCAG